rnacentral:rRNA from 1 species
CCUACGGGAGGCAGCAGUGAGGAAUAUUGGUCAAUGGACGGGAGACUGAACUAGCCAAGCCGCGUGAGGGAUGAAGGCACUGUGAAUUGUAAACUGCUUUUGUCAGGGGAUAAACCUGAGGACGCGUAUUCGGCUGAGAGUACUUUAAGAAAAAGCAUCGGCUAACUCCGUGCCAGCAGCCGCGGUAAUACGGAGGAUCCGAGCGUUAUCCGGAUUUAUUGGGUUUAAAGGGUGCGUAGGCGGAUUGAUAAGUUAGAGGUGAAAGGCACGAGCUUAACGCGGGAACUGACUGUAAUACGGUUGAUAUAGAGAGUAGAUGCGGUAGGCGGAAGGUAUGGUGUAGCGGUGAAAUGCUGAGAGAGCAUACAGAACACCGA